UAGCGAAGAGACUUAGAUACUGUAGAAAUUAUGCCAAUGAAGUACAGAAACGCACCUGCAUGGACGCAGGUGCGAGGAGAACCGCGCCAUGGAGGGCGCGUUUCGACGGUUUCGUCGUGCAUAGAAAACCUAAGAGCAUAAUUUCGUACAGAAUCUUAGUCGCGAAGCGU
rfam:[Eubacterium rectale] ATCC 33656 chromosome, complete genome.